GCGCACGUGGCGGAAUUGGUAGACGCGCUAGGUUGAGGGCCUAGUAGGAGUUAAUCCUGUGGAAGUUCGACUCUUCUCGUGCGCA
rfam:Flavobacteriaceae bacterium TMED116 39816, whole genome shotgun sequence.